rnacentral:rRNA from 1 species
UACGUAGGGUGCAAGCGUUAAUCGGAAUUACUGGGCGUAAAGGGCGCGUAGGCGGACAGUUUAGUCAGAGGUGAAAGCCCAGGGCUCAACCUUGGAAUUGCCUUUGAUACUGGCUGUCUUGAGUACGGGAGAGGUGAGUGGAACUCCGAGUGUAGAGGUGAAAUUCGUAGAUAUUCGGAAGAACACCAGUGGCGAAGGCGACUCACUGGCCCGUUACUGACGCUGAGGCGCGAAAGCGUGGGGAGCAAACAGGG